UGUACACUAAUAUUGUAAUUUAAUGAAUAGGACAUAAAGACUGAUAGAACUAUGAAUUAUUAAGAAUUUAAUAUUUGUCAUAAAACUAUUAAUGAAGAUCCCGUUACCUAUGGAAAACUUAUUGCGCACACAAUUAUAAGUAAAAAACGUAUAACAAUAAUGUUAACGUGAGUACAAAUACGUAUAGCUUAGUAUCAUAUAAACCGAGUAUAUAUGAUUAUCAUACCUACAUGUAUUGAAACAUUUUUGUACGCAAAGAUUAUUAAUUUUACAAUAAUAAUCAGUCAUAAUACAAUUUUACAGAAUCAAAUGUGUAUUUAAUUAAUAAUUUAAUAAAAUUGCCCAGCAUUAUUAAAAUUUGAACAUGAGUUACAGUUCUACAUUAAUUAAUUAAAUAUUAAAUUGUAAAGCAUGACAAAUUAAAAUAUUUAUUUAAGUAUUCCAUACUACAGCCUUAUUUCUAGGCAACCCCUAUCAGUAAUAGCCUUAUCUACCCCUCGAUUAUCAGUACCCUCAUCAGCUCUGAAUGACUGACAGAUUAGCUGUUUAUUGUAAUUUUAGGGGUGGGAAAUAGGAUAUGGUGUUUUCAGGUAUUGUUACUUUCUUGACUGAUUAGGUGACAUAUGGUUUAUUAUUACAAUUCCAAAUUAACAAUUAAAGUGAUAUUAUGGGCAUGUUUCACUGUUGAAUUGAGCUGAACAUAAUUAACAGGUCAAAAGAGUUAGUUUAAAUGUGGUUACUGACGAAUUAUCUGCAACUCAUCUUGCUGCCAGUUGUUUAUAAAAAGUAUAUAUUAUAAUCGAUAUUUUACAUGACUCACCCAGUCCUCUAAUCCGAAAUGAUCCGUAAAACAAAAUAGUGUAUUUGUGUCGUAUGAACGAAUCUGCACUAAAACUAGAUUUAGAUUCACUUCGUAAAUCGAAUCUUGUAUGUCGUCAGUUGUCAAAACGAAACUACGGUUGAUAUUCAAAUGCAUUAUUUUUCUCUUUCCGGGAUAUUGUUGUAGUAUGUUGAUGCUGCAUUAACAAAUAUAAGUGUAUAUGAAGUGAAAACACCAAAAAUAAACAACGGUUGCGAUACACUACAUAGACAUAUACGCUCUUUAGUCGUACCGAGCACAUAUCAGUGAAAGGGGGAAAAAUUACAUAUCUUUAGGGUAUGGGUAACCUAUGGUCUUUAAAAAUCGAUUAGGAAUUUAUAAAAGGUAUUUCUUGUGUUAGGUUUAAGAAAGAAUGUCUCAAAAUAUUGUAAAAAAAAAACAUUGAAACUAGCGACAGCUCCCUUGCAAGGAUAUUUUGGAUCUCCAAAAAGGAGGUUUUUGCGAAGGUCAAUAUUUCACGCUGCAGAAACAGAACAGAACUUUAAAGUUUGGCCAUGCCCAGGAGGGAGUGACUGAGUUAUGGGGUGCAGAAGAAGCACAAGCCAUCUCGACAUGAUGAAUCAUCCCCAACAGCGCUUGAGGAUGGUUUCCUGCUCAAUGAGGAUGAAUCCAUAACUGAGAACUGAGGAUGAUACUUCUCUCAACACUGCAUUGUAUGAAGACAAAGCAACUCAGUGUGGUUAGUCAUCGUCAACAACAGAACCAGACUAAGCUGACGUUGGAGACUGUCAAGUUGAGAUCACUGUGCCUAUCAGGGUUGAGUGUUACAUACUGAACGAAGUGAUCCAAAGCAAUUUAUUGUCAAUACGCACGCUAGAGACCUGGACAUUCGCUUUUUUACAUUCAGAUCAAAGCAUGGCAAAACAUAUUUAAGGAUGAAAGUAUGUGUUAAUGAAGCAGGACACACUACUGAACAUGUUCAUGGUUAGGAAGUUGCCCAGAACCAUUUUUUGUGGGAACAAAUUUCUAGUGAUUAUCUUUUUGCCCUUUAGCUCACCUGAGCACAAUGUGCUAAUGGUGAGCUUUUUUGAUCGCCUUUUGGCAGUCGUGGAGUGCGUGUUGUGUGGCGUCAACAUUUGCCUUGUAAACAAUCUUGAGGCCACAUUAAUUGUCCAAACUUCAUGAAAUUUGGUCAGAACAUUUUUCCAAAUGAAAUCUUGGACAAGUUAAAAAAUUGUUCCGGUUUAUUGUCCGUCAUCAUGAAACUUGGUCAGAAGAUUUGUCAAAAUGAUAUCUUGGGCAAGUUCAAAAAUGGUUCCGGUUGGUUCAAAAACAUGGGCACCAGGGGGUGGGGCAUUUUUCCUUAUAUGUCUAUAUAUAGCUAUAGAAAAACCUGGUAUCCGGACAAUUGCUCCUACAGACAAUCGCUCCUACGCUAAAUUUGACAGGGCGGACGGUCGCUCCUACGAUGUUUUGACAGGGCGGACAGUCGCUCCUAUGAUGUUUUGACAGGGCGGACAGUCGCUCCUACGAUGUUUUGACAGGGCGGACAGUCGCUCCUACAUUAUUUUGCCAACCCGGACAAUCGCUCCUACAUUAUUUUGUCAACCCGGACAGUCGCUCCUACAUUAUUUUGACUCCACGGCAAAAUGUAGUGUACGCCGAUCAAAGGCUAACACCUAUGAUUAACCUACAAUUAAAAUUGCCAACUUGUGUCGAAAAAUGCGAAAUAAGCCAGAUAUUUAAAUUUGAAAUCGAAAAUGUCUGUACAUUUGAAUUCGCCGGCAUGUUGCAUUUCAUGAAUUUUGUAUUCAAUGUAUAAUUGUACUUGUCUAUUUUGUGUUAUUGUAACAUAUACAUAUAACAUUUUAUCAAUAUAUUACAAUUCAACACAUACAAAAAUCGUUCAGUAUUUUAAUAAUCAUAGAAAUGCCGAUUAAGAAAUUGUUCAGUGUCAUAUCAAUCAAUGGGUCAAAUGUGAAAACAAUGACCUAGCCAAUUGUUUACUAACCUUAAUUCACUUUAAAGGGAUCUUUUGACGGUUUGGUAAAUUGACAAAAUUGAGAAAAGUUGUUUCAGAUUCGCAAAUUUUUGGUUUAGUUAUGAUAUUUGUGAGGAAACAGUAUUACUGAACAUUUGCCAUGGUCUAAUAUAGUCAUUAUAUGCAUCUUUUGACGAUUUAAAAACCUAAAAAUUAUUAAGCGUUGCAAGGCGAAGCGAUUGAAUAAUUUGGAAAGUUCUAGUGAUGUCGUUUAAAUUUGUGAAACUACGAUGAUAUAAGGUAUAAAAUACGCAUCUUAUGUAUCCUUGGCAGGAUAGCUCAGUUGGCUAAUGCGUUUUUACUUAGAGUCCUGCUGCGGGCUACUUUUGUUUUCCUUUUUUAAAUUUUAUUUUUGAUUUUUUACUGGAGCUUUUAAAAUUUAAUGUUUACAUUUAUCAAUAUAAAGCAUUUAAUGACAAACUUCAAAACAUGCCAAAAUCUGUGAAAAGGCCCCUUUAAUGUGACGCCAUUCUGUAAUCUUUAUGCACGGUUUGCACAUCAUAGGUGUCAAAGUGGUCAUUAUCAAUUGAUACUACCAUUUUUGUUAUAGCAAUUAUUGAUUUAAUGCGGUUUUUAUGUUUAUUCCAUUCGCAAAAUGGCACUUAUUCCAAUAAAUGUAAUAUCGGAACGAAUGUCCCCGAUAAGAAUAAUGUAGGAACCAUUGUCCAAAGUGCCCUUAUAACUACCUUAUAUUUACAGAAUCGACAAACUGUAACAUAGUUUGUCAGUAAGUAAAUUAAUUAAUUAAAAUCAAAUUGAUCGGCUCAUGUUAAAUUGGCUUUCUGUUAACAGGUUGGCAAUUUUAAUUGUUGGUUAAUUAAAGGUGUAAGCCUUUGAUCAGCGAAUAAUAUGUUUUGCCGUGGAGUCAAAAAUAAUGUAGGAGCGAUUGUCCGGGUUGACAAAAUAAUGUAGGAGUAAUUGUCCGGGUUGGCAAAAUAAUGUAGGAGCGACUGUCCGCCCUGUCAAAACAUCGUAGGAGCGACUUUCCGCCCUGUCAAAACAUCUUAGGAGCGACUGUCCGCCCUGUCAAAACAUCGUAGGAGCGACUGUCCGCCUUUUCAAAUUUAGCGUAGGAGCGAUUGUCCGUAGGAGCGAUUGUCCGGGAUUCGAAAAACCUUUUUAACACUCUAUAGAGUGUCCCAAUGAUAUCAUGAAAAACAUGGCCACCAAGGGGCGGGUUUUUUUUCCUUACAUGACUAUGGUAAAAACAUGUUAACACUCUCAGUCGCAUUUAUAGUCCAAUCUCCAUGAUGAAAAAUUCUUAUGUGAUUAUGAAUUUUCUGCCCCAUACGAUAAUGGCUCUUAUGCUUACAUGUUUGUUGCCUGCAUCUCUGCAGAAUAUUAGCUGUUUUCUCCCGAUAUGUUAUUAAUUUUGUAAUAUCAACAACUUGCUUAAUACGUGUAAUAAAUUGCUUAUUUUUUUAUGCCAGGUGUAUUGAUAUGUGUUUAUGAAUGAUGAAGUUUUGAUGAAAUAUCAUUAAAUUGUAAAAACUA